ACCAAACGCGAUAUAUGUAUAAUUGAACGGCCAACAAGCAAAUAUCGCCGUUUCCCCCUUCCCUAUCCUCCAUGGCCGGCGCCGCCAUGGCCUUCGCCGUCUUCCACCCUCGUCCCUCACUCCUCUGCACUGGCCCUCUGCUUCCGUUCCAAGCCAUCCGACGUAUUUCCUUUCUCCGCCUUGCUUCUAGCUCCUCCACCUCCCCCACUGCCGAGUUCAACAUCUCCUUCGGUGCCAGUCCCUCACCAGGCGUCAACGAGGCUGAACCAAGAACCCUAGUGCCAGACACUUCCCCUACUGGAUCCUCGAAUGCUCCCAUCCCCAUGCUCAUUCCGUGGAUUGUCCGCGGCGAGGACGGCCAGUUCACUAUACAGUCCUCCCCUCCUGCCCGAUUCCUCCAAGACAUGGCCGAAGCCAAGAUGGAGAAGAAGGCUAAGAAAAAGAACGACAAGAAGAAUUCUCCGGGCGCGAUGACGUCUACUGUUACGAGUGCAUCGCCUCCCAAGUACUCGAAGGCUGCCAGAAGAUUUUACAACCAGCACAUUAAACAGAAGUCGCAGCGGCUCAGUAAGGUCCUUGCUGCUUCUGGUGUGGCAUCGAGAAGGAAUUGUGAAGAGAUAAUUUUUGAAGGGAAAGUGACUGUCAAUGGGUCAGUUUGCACUUCUCCACAGACCAGGGUCGACAUUGCAAAGGAUUCAAUAUAUGUUAAUGGGAACCGCUUAUCCAAGAAACUACCUCCUAAGUUGUAUUUUGCUCUCAACAAGCCAAAAGGUUAUAUUUGCUCAAGUGCAGAUGAUUCUAAAUCAGUCAUCUCCCUCUUUGAUGAUUUUUUGAAAAAAUGGAUUAAGUCAAAUCCAGGAAUACCGAAGCCACGAUUGUUCACUGUUGGACGGCUUGAUGUUGCAACAACCGGCUUGAUUAUUGUUACUAAUGAUGGUGAUUUUACUCAGAAGAUUUCUCAUCCAUCAUCUGAACUAACCAAAGAAUAUAUAGCAACAAUAGAAGGUAAGGUCAAUAGACGGCACCUUGUAACUAUAAGUGAGGGUGCUCAAGUUGAAGGUGUACACUGUGUACCUGAUUCUGUGGAACUAUUGUCAGCCCAGCCUGAUGCUUCAAGACCUCGAAUUCGAUUAGUGAUAUCUGCUAGGUACAUGAAGGGAGAAACCAUGAAGUGCGAGAACUUGUAAGAAAUGCAGGGUUACAGCUUUAUUCGCUAAAACGUGUGCGAAUAGGUGGAUUCAGGCUUCCAUCCGAUCUCGGGCUUGGGAAGUAUGUUGAACUUAAGCAAUCCGACUUCAAGUUGUUUGAAGUGAAGAAGUGAACACUCCAAAGAAUGCCAGAAUAGCAUCAGAUUUGAACACGACACCUCGGUUUGCUUCAAAUAAACUUUUAGCUAUUUGACAUGCGAUCUCCAUCUCGAUGUUUGAUCUAGUCCAGUAUGACAAUGGAAUGACUUGCUGGUAAGACACAAAACCGUGGAUCAAUGCCUAGAGAGAAGAUGAACACUUGGUUUCCAUGCCGCUUUAUCGUUUGUUCAUCAUGUAGUGAUGAAGUGAUGGACAAUGAAAUUCUGGUGCUAACUCAGGAGAUUCUGAUUGCCAAAAGUAAUUUUUUUUUUCUUCGUAAAGCUGAUGUAUAUGUUGAACAGAAAUGCCUAUGAUAUUGUUGUUUAUUCAGAUUAAGUAUAGUAUUGUAACUGAAUAAUUUAUAAUUUAUCAUCUGAUUUUACUCAA